rnacentral:tRNA from 1 species
AAAGAUUUAGUUAAAUAUAUAAUAUUAAAUUGUCAAUUUAAAGUUAUUUUAUAAAAAUAUUCUUUU